AAAAUAAAGUCAAAUAAAAAUACCCACACAUACCAGAGCCAAAUAACAACAACAGUAAGGACGAUGACUACAACAACAACUUGAAAAAUAUUACAUGUAAACAAAGUCAUGUCAGAACAGAAUAGAACAGAACAGAAAACAACAUAACACAACAUUUUCCUAUGGACCAUUUUAAGGAAACUGAAAUCAGUUUUCGCACGAUUGUCAAAUGGAAAACACGUCUUAAGCGGAUAAAUUCGAAAUAAAAUUUAAAAAAAGUGAAAAAAGUAAAGUGACCAAAAAAGGAAGAAAAUAAAAGUAUUUUUUUUUUGUUGUUGUUGCUAUUAAUAUAGAAAAAUACAUACAAAUACUUACUUUUUUUCAUAUGAAAAUAACGUUAAACACCUACAUACUGAUAUGCAUACAUACAUGUAAAAAUGUGUAAGCAGGGGAGGGGGCGGUGUGUAAGUGAGUGAAUUCCACCAUAUUAUUGAAGCCUAUUUAAGAAUUGCUCCUAUUAUACCUUUGUCAUGUUUUGUUUGGUUUAAUCAUCUACUUGGUCACUCAAUUUUAAUUUCCGGUCAAUAUAUGACAAACCAGUAAUAUUAGUAUCUUUAUAAGAAUUUAAAACUACAAAAAAUUGCUUUUAGCAAAAAUCUAAAAAUAAAU